rnacentral:piRNA from 1 species
UGCCUUAGUAGACAUAGUUAGGGUAUAGCC